rnacentral:rRNA from 1 species
GGGUUGUGAGGUUAAGCGACUAAGCGUACACGGUGGAUGCCCUGGCAGUCAGAGGCGAUGAAGGACGUGCUAAUCUGCGAUAAGCGUCGGUAAGGUGAUAUGAACCGUUAUAACCGGCGAUUUCCGAAUGGGGAAACCCAGUGUGAUUCGUCACACUAUCAUUAUGUGAAUACAUAGCGUAAUGAAGCGAACCGGGGGAACUGAAACAUCUAAGUACCCCGAGGAAAAGAAAUCAACCGAGAUUCCCCCAGUAGCGGCGAGCGAACGGGGAGCAGCCCAGAGUCUGA